ensembl:lncRNA
CAGCCCCAUUCUGGGAUUUUGUGCUGCAUCCUGCUGAGGUGCCCAGUGUUCCGGAACCCAGGAGCCAGCAGCCUCAUGAGGACAGGGCCAGGUGAAUGCCUUGCUCACAAGACACCCCAACCAAAGGGAGAAAACCUAUGGGGCAUUACAGCGAUCUCAAUUAUUCGAAAGCCAGUCAUGGCCAAUACCCUGUCUACAUUUUGAAGCUUGCGUCUGGAGCAGGCUUGAGACACAAAGGGUGCAUUUAUCACCAUCUGAGAUGCAGUGGCCUCUGGAUCCACUGGCCUCACACAGUCUUUCGUAGAACUCAGAGGAAUCUCACCUGCGGAGGAGGGUCUUGAGCCAACCCUAGCCAUGAGUCAACAUAUGGGAAUUGAUCCAGGUGUCCCUGCUCUCUUGUGACUAUUGCAUGAAAGUGAAGUCACUCAGUCGUGUCCAACUCUUUGUGACCCCAUGGACUGUAGCCUACCAAGCUCC